AUGAACAUGAUGACGGUGCUAACCGAGAUGAGAAUAUGCCGGACAUGGAUGCUAGCAAGAGAGCCAAAACCACUCAAUGAUAGUGGAAGUACAUCGUCACGGACUAGAAAUGUCAGUGUCGGCACUGUGGAGCACCUUGAUGUGGUCGUCCCGAGCUCGGCCCAUGCUGCACCACACACAGAUGGUCAAAAUAGUGCUUUAGCAUGCAUACCCAACCGUGCACCAUACCGUACCAAUCCAAAGGAGACGAAGGAGAUUAUGCGUCAAGUACAGGAGCUACUCGAAAAAGGUUAUAUACACGAAUCCCUUAGUCCUUGUGCUAUUCCUAUCAUUUUAGUGCCGAAAAAGGAUGGUACUUCGCGUAUUGCGUAG
rnacentral:rRNA from 1 species